rnacentral:rRNA from 1 species
UACGAAGGGGGCUAGCGUUGCUCGGAAUUACUGGGCGUAAAGCGCACGUAGGCGGCUUUCUAAGUCGGGGGUGAAAUCCUGGAGCUCAACUCCAGAACUGCCUUCGAUACUGGAGAGCUCGAGUCCGGGAGAGGUGAGUGGAACUGCGAGUGUAGCGGUGAAAUGCAUAGAUAUGACACAGAACACCGGUGGCGAAGGCGGCUAUCUGGACCGACAUUGACGCUGAGGCGCGAAAGCGUGGGGAGCAAACAGG